rnacentral:rRNA from 1 species
ACGAGAGUUUGUAACACCCGAAGUCGGUGGGGUAACCUUUUGGAGCCAGCCGCCUAAGGUGGGACAGAUGAUUGGGGUGAAGUCGUAACAAGGUAGCCGUAUCGGAAGGUGCGGCUGGAUCACCUCCUUUUCU